AUACGUAGGUGGCGAGCGUUGUCCGGAAUUAUUGGGCGUAAAGAGCAUGUAGGCGGUUUUUUAAGUCCGGAGUGAAAAUGCGGGGCUCAACCCCGUAUGGCUCUGGAUACUGGAAGACUUGAGUGCAGGAGAGGAAAGGGGAAUUCCCAGUGUAGCGGUGAAAUGCGUAGAUAUUGGGAGGAACACCAGUGGCGAAGGCGCCUUUCUGGACUGUGUCUGACGCUGAGAUGCGAAAGCCAGGGUAGCGAACGGGAUUAGAUACCCCGGUAGUCCUGGCCGUAAACGAUGGGUACUAGGUGUAGGAGGUAUCGACCCCUUCUGUGCCGGAGUUAACGCAAUAAGUACCCCGCCUGGGGAGUACGUCCGCAAGGAUGAAACUCAAAUGAAUUGACGGGG
rnacentral:rRNA from 1 species